AUUGAACGCUGGCGGCAGGCCUAACACAUGCAAGUCGAACGAGUGGCGGACGGGGGAUUAAUGUCUGUGAAACUGCCUGAUGGAGGGGGAUAACUACUGGAAACGGUAGCUAAUACCGCAUACCAUCGGAUGUGCCCCGAUGGGAUUAGCUAGUAGGUGGGGUAAAGGCUCACCUAGGCGACUAUCCCUAGCUGGUCUGAGAGGUUGACCAGCCACACUGGAAAUGAGACACGGUCCAGACUCCUACGGGAGGAAGCAGUGGGGAAUAUUGCACAAUGGGCGCAAGCCUGAUGCAGCCAUGCCGGGUGAAUGAAGAAGGCCUUCGGGUUGUAAAGUACUUUCAGCGGGGAGGCGUUACCCGCAGAAGAAGCACCGGCUAACUCAGUGCCAGCCGCCGAGGUAAUAC
rnacentral:rRNA from 1 species